AAUAAUUAGAAGUGGCAGUAUCGUAGCCAAUGAGGUUAAUCCAAGACACGAUUACUGCUAAUUGAAAACUUUUCUAGAUGGUAAAUGGCAGUAAACGACCAGUUCAUUCAUUGUACUGAAUCAGUAAAUUAUCUGUCAAUUACUGUAAAUUAAAUUUUCCA
rnacentral:snRNA from 1 species